UACGUAGGGGGCGAGCGUUGUCCGGAUUUAUUGGGCGUAAAGAGCUCGUAGGCGGUUCGAUAAGUCGGACGUGAAAUCUCCACGCUCAACGUGGAGGGGCCGUUCGAUACUGUCGUGACUCGAGUCCGGUAGGGGAGUGUGGAAUUCCCGGUGUAGCGGUGAAACGCGCAGAGAUCAGGAGGAACACCGGUGGCGAAGGCGGAUCUCUGGGCCGUAACUGACGCUGAGGAGCGAAAGCAUGGGGAGCGAACAGG
rnacentral:rRNA from 1 species